UAAGAGCUAGGAUUAAUUACAAGCUAG
rnacentral:piRNA from 1 species